GACGAACCUUGCAAACGUUAUUCGGAAUCACUGGGCUUAAAGGGUGCGUAGGCUGUGCAGAAAGUUGGGUGUGAAAUACCUCGGCUUAACCGAGGAAUUGCGCCCAAAACUACUGUGCUCGAGGAAGAUAGAGGUGAGCGGAACUUAGGGUGGAGCGGUGAAAUGCGUUGAUAUCUACAGGAACUCCGGUGGCGAAAGCGGCGUGCUGGACCUUUUCUGACGCUGAGGCGCGAAAGCUAGGGGAGCAAACGGG
rnacentral:rRNA from 1 species